rnacentral:tRNA from 1 species
GCCGCUAUCGUAUAACGGUUAGUACAACGGGUUUUCAUCUCGUUAAUCGGAGUUCGAUUCUCCGUAGCGGUACCA